UUCCCCUAACACAAUAGCUCUAUCCCUUUCGUCAUUCAAGAGCCUAUGAAAAUACGACUGCCAUCUCUUCUUAAUGUGUCCGUCCUCCACCAACACUCUACCGUCCUCCCCCUUAAUGCACCUCACCUAAUCGAGGUCACGACCCUUCCUCUCCCUAGCUUUAGCGAGUCUAAACAACUUUUUCUCCCCUUCUUUCUCCUGUAACCCUGCAUACAAGCUCUCAAAAGCGGUCGUCUUAGCUGCCGUGACUGUUGACUUUGCCUCCUUCCUCACUAGCUUGUACUCUUUCCUAUUUACCCGCUUCUCCUCUUCGUCCUUACUUUUCACCAACUUAGCAUACGCCCCUUUCUUGGUCCCCACUUUCUUCUCCACCUCUUCAUUUCACCAGCAAUCCCCCCGACGGUGCCCAGCCCGGCCCCUAGAAACACCCCACACCUCACUUGCAUUCUCCCUGAUGCACCUUGCCGCCCUAUCCCACAUACUAUCCACGUCCCCCCUACACUCCCACACCUCCAUUCCCGCCAACCUCUCCCCUAUCUCCCACGCAUUCACUGGCGUCAGGCCGCCCCACUUAAUUCUCAGUCUAC
rnacentral:lncRNA from 1 species